rnacentral:lncRNA from 1 species
AUUUUCCUGGGGUAAGCUGUUGCACUUCAAUUGCAAAAGCCGUAUUUAGUCCAACCUUACCUUUCUCCCCUUUCACUCCCACUGUUCUUAAGUUUAGGGUUGGAAAUUAGUCGCCACCAUUUAAUUUUGGACUAAUAUCAAACUCUGGUAAGUUCUUUUGAGGAGGGAUCUUGGAUUGGAACCUCUUCUUCUUCUUCUUCUUCCUUGUAGCGAUUUUCUUCACUUGAUCCUCCUUGACAUUUAUCAGCCUUUGGUCUGCACUAAGGGCUUGAUCUUCAAGUUGAUCCGCUACUAGUGUAGCCUUUUUCUUUGUCUUUUUCCCUUUCAUAGUCACUCCAGUCUUGCUCUUAUUCUUUUUUCCUUUUCUCGCCUUUUUUCCUCUUUGUUGCUCGUCACUCUGUUGUGCCUCAGUCGGUUUUCUGAUUUUCUCUAAGGUUUUUCUCUACAUCCAUUAUUUUUGAGUGAACACUGAUUUCAGUAAGGCUCUUUUCCAUUAGCUGUUCAUCUACCAUAUUGACCUUGGCCACUGAACCUGAUGGAUUGGUUUUCUUAGUGCUCCUGUUAUUUAGCUCCCCAUUCCUGGAAUUUUCUUUAGCCUUUUUCCUGUUGUUCUUUGAGUUCUUUACUUCAGUCCAUCCACCCUCAUCCUCGUCCAUAAUAUUCUCAGUUUGUUUGGUUUUCUGUUUAUCAGUUGUCCCUGGUUCUUCGCCCUUUGGCUGUUGUAUCCUACAAAUCGCGUCUGAAUGACCCUGAAUUUGACAGUGGAAGAAAAACUCUGAGAUAUACUCAUACUCGAUUAGUUGAUUGAAUAUGUCUAGUUCACCAUUACCAUCCACAAGCUCCACUUCUACUUCCUUCAAAUUUGGUUUUGAUAAGUCAAUCUCCACUCGAGCUUUCGCCGGAGUUGGCCUUGUUCUUGCCAUCGAAGCCUUGUCUAGAGCUAUUAGGGGACCAAUGGGCUCCAGAAUUCUUUCCAUUACUGCCUAGUCAUGGUAAUGUCAUGGUAAUUCGGGGAGCGUCACCCAAACCGGAGCCAAGGUUGACUGCAUAUCCACUUUGAAGUUCCUGGUCCAUCGUUGAAUUCUCAUGGUGGUGCCACAAAUCUGUAUUGGACGUCUACCAUAGAACCUUUUGAAAUCCUCUUCUUCCGUGAAAUCGAUGAACACAUGCCUCCAGUCAUAGGCCCUAAUUUUGAUCGAUCCUUUCAGGGGAUAAGUUCUUUUGAAAUCAUCCCUUAUUUUGUCAAUUUGGGGACGGUAUCGAGAGAAUUUUCCAACAAUUGUCCACUUGCACUUUUUAGCCAGUAAUUCAUCUCUCUUUCGAGAAGACUACUCUCGCUUUCCCGUCAAUUAGUUCAUAAGGCUUGUGUUCUAAUCGUACAUUCUUUCUGCAUGGCCCAUUGAAUUUUCCUUCAACAGCCGCAACAAAAUUGAAUUGUGUUGAAUUGUUUUCUCACUGUUCUUGUUUGGGGUAGCUAGGCGCAUCCCCUACUGUUCGUCAGUGGCAAUAUGGCUGGUCAGAGCCGCCUUAGUGGGUAGGGGAAGGAAUUUGGGUUCAUUGUUCUGUAGGGGGAAGAAUGGUCAAUUUCUUGGUACAAUAAAUCUGAAUGUCAGCCACUCAUAAGGUUUUGAAGAGUGCCAGGAGAACUACUUUUACCAGCAGAAAAAUUUGGAAUGCAAGAGUAACUUAUAAGUUUUUUUUUGUUGCAGUUAUUGAAAUACAGAAUCCCUACUGAUGAAGUCAUUAGGAGGUUUGUAUUUAACGGCCCUAGCAUGUGCUAUUGUUGUAGAGCUCCUCUAGAAGACACCAUUGAACACAUCUUUUCCUCUAGCUCGAAGGCCAAAGUUGUCUGGCAGUUUUUUUGGUAGCCACUUGGUAGGGGAAUUUGUAGCCGAACCCUAUAUUUGUUCCACCUUUUAAUCUGUAC